GACACGGCUCAUUGAUGCCACCGAGGUUAUCUGCGUCGCUCCAAAACAAACCGCACAAAAUUAGCUCCACGUAGCAGACGAGAUAAGGAGAAGAUAAUCCCAGGGGACGCGGAGCAGCCAGACGAUCCGCAAGAGACGUCCUAUGGUCGUGUACGAAGUACGCUAAAUCAAGGGGACAAUUUGCAAAAUCAUUCUUUUCAGACAAUCAUCUGUAACUUCAGAUUCCAGAUGAUUGUCUGCGCGUGUCGUUUGGCAAUAAUAAUCUCGUAACAGCGAUUUAGAAAAUUAGCCCAAGCGCGCUGGACGCAUGCACACAGAUCAGUACAUUCUUCUGUCUUCAUACAUUCUUCCAAGUGAAAAACUGUGUUCCCGCCGGUGCACACAGAGACUCCUGUUAUGUGCGCCCGGAGAGUCGAAGCGUCACGGCCGGUAAAAACAUUAACCAUUAACCCGUCAUCGAUCAUCCGCCGCAGUUUGAACUUGUGCAGCUGGCCGCGCAAUUUGAGAUCAAUGAGACACAAACACUAAACGUGGCACUAAACGGAAUCACAAGGUUUAUGUUUAUCCCGGCCGGUGAAUCCCUCCGAAAGAACCCCGGCACCAAAAGAAAAAAUAAACAGAUUAGCCAGAUUUUCACAGUUCAAAGGAUGCACUUUAGUAGGCGUUUUGAGAAGCUAUUUAAAAACCCAUUCCCUGCCAUUUAGUCUCCCUUCACCGUGGGUGAGGGGGUUUCACAAGUAUGUCGAUGCAUCAGAAAUCUGCAAACAGUGCAGCGUACAAGGCCUCCACAGCGCCAUGUGAACUCUUUUUUCUUUUUCCUCUCACGCAUCAGAUGCGUUAAAAAAAAAACCCGCCUUCGAGGGUGAGAUCUUUCACGCCGAAAGCUGAGCCACGGGUGAAUGUAGGCCGAGCAGCGUGUCGUGCUGAGACCAGCUCGCAGGUGAUGAAAAGGAAGCGCGAGAUCUAAUUCACUUGUUCCUGUCGUUUGAAGUCUCAGUGAGUUUCAGUGGUAGCAAAGACAGAAAGGUUCACUUAGGGGGACGUGUGAGGAUGAGGAACAAAUAAAGCCGCCGAUUUCAGCGCCCUUGAGCUACGAGAGAAAAUCUUUUAAAGACUCAUAAGCUGAGAAUCUUGUCUGCUAUUGAUCUUAUUAUCUCCUGAAAGGACGGAUGGCAAAGAGAGCCUGCAACCCAGGCUAAAGGCGGAGUUUCUCACAAACAAUACCAGCAUUUUAAACCGUAAGUGGCUCCACGACCUGCACAGAGUCAGCAGUGUCUCAUAAAAUAAAUAAAUAAAAUAAAAUCUGGGUUUCAAAUUUAACUGUGCUUGACCUUUUUUUUUUUUUUUCUUACUUUGAUGAAUUGUGCAGUUCUGCUUGGCCACGCCAUUCUCUAUUGUCUGACACGGAGCAACAAAACAGUGGCAGCAGACAAUGGAGGGUCACUGCAGAGGGCUUGAAAUAAUCAUAACAAUGACAGCUCCUGUAUUUAUAGUUGCAAAGAGACUCCCGACUGCAACGCCUAAGUGCUUUGUUAUUAACAGGAAGAGCGGCUCCCUGUGAAGAAUAAACAGCACUUCUUUUUUACUGGGUGAGUCAUGUUAGCGGUUUUUUUUUUUUUUUUUACGGCCUUACUGGAUACCAGUAGGUGCGUCCAAGUGCCAAGAAAGAGUCGGGCCGUGCUGCACGACAGAGGCCCCCGAAGUUCAUCCAGUUUGGUCCGAAUUUCAAAAAGCCGAAAGGGGACUUUGUUAGAAAAUGCCUUUCUAAGCAUUGGUAGCCAGACAGAGAUCACUGGGUCAUCUCGCAUCUGCGGAGCUCUUCCUGAGCGAAACUGGGAGCGCUCAAAAAGCAGGUCACGAACGCACGGAGACAAAAGGGGAAUCAGGAUUGCCUGAGAUAAGACGCAACAAUAUUUUACAGAGAGGGGUGAUGACAGCAGCCGAGGGUCGAAGUGUGUGUGCGUGCGUGUGUGCGAGCACCCCCCCCAAAAAAAGACAAAAAGACAAAAAAAAAAAAAAAAAAAAAACAGGCCUUUUGUGCAUCAUUUGAUAAGCUGGGGGAUGUUUGCUAUCGGGUCACCAGGAUGAGCAGGAGGAAAAAUCAAUGAAGCACUUCAGAUUAGUGCCUGGAAAGACGGCCGCGUUAUGAAAGACAGGAUGUUGCGUAUUUCAAAAAUGAGCAAAACAGAAAGAGGCAUAAGAAACAGAACAUCACCAAGCAGGCAUCAAGUUUUUUAUUUAAAUUUGUUUUACUACGUUACUCAGCUUGUACUUGGGGAAUUAAAAAAAAACACUUUGUGGUUUCGUUGCGCUUGUCAACAAGCACACAACAAUGCGACGAGAGUAUUAAACCUGGCAUGGUCGCUGUGGAACAUUUCACUUCUUGUGCACUGAGUCAUCUCGUGAACGUGACUCACUACGGAGUUGCAUCAUUAAUGUACUGCACACUCUGUGCUCAAAAACACAGCUCCAACUUUCUUUUACAUAGGUGUUGAGACAGAGUAGACAAAACUUUACAUCCUUCCUGCAAGAGGAAGCCUCUGCUCAUCUGCUCGUCCGGCCUGCUGCUUCAGUCAGGAUUUAUCAUCGCGCAUCUUUUGCGCCAACAGUCAGUGGAGGUGGACAAAAAGGCACUAACAACGCCUACAGUUUUCACACAAACCGUUAUAUACAUGAAAAAAAUAUUAUGCGACAAUCUUUUAAAGGCCAGACUUCUGAGAUAGUGUGGAGCACAAAAAAAAAAUUGUUUACCCGCAUAUGGAACCCAGAAGAUUUGGUUUUGAUAUCAUAUCAGAACAAUACGCCGCUAAUUUUCUGAUACCGUUGUUUGCGGGAACAUGAACAUAUCAAAUUAGACUCACAAAUGAUUGCAUGAGACAAUUUUACUGAUCUCAAUCUGAAAACGACAAACUGAAGGCUGAGACAUCACCAAACUGGAGCAGAUAAUGAAAUCUAGUCCCUCCUCUGCAGAGUUAGAGAAGGUCACGCAAAAAAAGUCCAUGCUUUUAUCUCCCCUAGACUUAACUCUUGCAAUGCACCGUACUCUGGUGUCAGCAGGCGAAACGCGCAGAGGGCAGUCGAUACAACACACUGCUGUUUUUCCCUUAACACGUGCUAACGGGGACGAUCACAUGACGCUCGUCCAUCCGUCCGUCCGCUUGGUGGUAGCACAUUCCCGACUGCUUCUCCAUCUCCCGCAAAUUCAGAACUGAUGCUUUUGGAUCGAUAACGAUGGAACACGUCAAAGAAAGGAGGAUUAACUUAGACUUUAACGAUCAACGGGGGAAGUUACUUGGUCACAGUAGCUUAGCACGUAAAAGAGGAAAGGAGGGUUAGCUGAGGAAGUCUUGAGACGACAUUCGCACGACUCGUCUUGUGUGAAAUUUUGCAGAACGUUUCAUCCGCCAUUGUUGAAAAGGAAGCAGGAAGUAGAAACAGAUUAAUCUGAUUGACAAAAAAAAAAAAAAGACAGAGUGUUUAGGUGGAGUUUUUACAGAGCGAGUGCACAAGUAUAAAUGGCUCGCACCGGCGUAGGCUACACCGUCAAUGUCCCAGAGAGACGUCAUUGAAUUAAAGAUUUUAUUGCUUGAUAAGUUCCUCCUACAUGAUUCUGGAAAUGCCCAACAAAGAGUCGCACCCUUAUCUGUGACAGUCCCUGCUCAGUAAUCUCAAUAUCCUGUUCAAAUCAUCAAUCUUAAAACGUGUUUUUAUUGUAUGGAGCCCUCUAACCUUGUAUUCCAUUCAUCUUGUCUUAUUAUUUUCAUAUUUUUUUUGUAAAGCAAACGUGAAUGAAUAAUUGAAGUAGUUGCUGUUAUAGCACAAACUACAGGAUCCUGUCAGUUUGGAUGACACUGAACCAUGAAGACGCUCUUGAGUCCGUCAUGGGCGCCAGCGGGAGACCCUCCUAUCUGCAGGACACAGAGCGUGCUACGCUACGCCGCUUUCUUUGUAUCUUUGCGGAACAUGGACAUCUACGGAGGUUUAAAAGUAUUUUAAAGAAGCCGGGGGGCUGGAGCGUGCCUCUGGCCGUGGAUGGGGAUCCGUGGUGGCUCCGAGAUAAGGGCCCAGCUGUGGCCCCCGGCUUCCUCAAUAAAACACAUCGUGGGCACAAAAGGGCGCUGCUGGCAGCGCGGGGCUGUCCUGUCAGCUCAGGGGCGGCUCCGGUUGCUGGAGGAACUUUGGCAGCAGGAUAAUCCAUCCCUGGUGUGACUGUUGGUGAAUCAGCAUCACUAUGGUUUUGUUGACUCAAGGGUCUGUUGUAUCUAUAUCCUGCUGAUCCCAAACCGACACUGGGCGAGGCCUGGGUUCUCUUUCUGUUGCCAAACAUGUGGUUUUUUUUUUUUUCCAUUGUCUGCCUUCAUCCCAUACUGUCAAGCUUUUAAUUUGUGUAGACAAGGACAGGUUCUACUUGUUCCCUAUUAUUAAACGCCUGCAUGCUAAUUAAGUGGGAAAACAGUCUUAAAUUUACAUGCCAGAAGGACAAUUCAUCUGAUUGCAUGUGACAUUUAACAUGAGAAAAGGUCCCUUUAUGGGCUUCCCCACUCCUCAGUGAUUUCAACUCCACCUAGUGGUACACGCAGCAAACUAAAAAUAACACUCCAUCUAGAGAGGCCUGAUGUAUGGUUUAUUAGUGUCUUGUCAGGGGAAUAAAAGCCAAGGAACGCCAUGACUGAACAUGUUUAGUCUGCUUUGGACAUUGCAGAGGAAAUGAACUUUAAAUGUCGCAGGCCGGCUUGAAAACUAGCUUCUUUGACAAGUCUCAUAUUUCCUGCUUCCAGACGAGCCAAACAGGAGCUUCCAGCCGGCCUCAGUCUACCGGGGAAUGUUAUCAUCAACAUGCAGCAGAUGUUCCAAAUUAAAUCAGAAACAGAUCAGACACAACAAACAUCUUCAUGUAGACAAAGAAAAAAAGGAUUUUAGAAGAAGAAAAAUAACAAUUUAGAGUCGCAGUGUGGGAGCAAUCUAGAGUUAACCGAAACCGUGGAACACAUUCGUUAACAAUUGUAUUGUCUGAGCUUAGCUGGAUUUUCUGUAAACUUGGAUGAGACAAAAUGACAUUUUUUUUUUUAUAACAAAUGAUAUU